rnacentral:tRNA from 1 species
UGCAGAUGUAGCUCAGUGGUACAGCACAUGCCUAGCAUGCUCAAGGCCCUGGGUUCAAUCCCCAGCACUGCAA